GCUUCGGUAGCUCAGCUGGUUAGAGCGUAUGACUGUUAAUCAUAAGGUCGUGAGUUCAAUCCUCACCCGAAGCG
rfam:Galdieria sulphuraria unplaced genomic scaffold scaf_59, whole genome shotgun sequence.